UACAGAGGUCUCAAGCGUUGUUCGGAUUCAUUGGGCGUAAAGGGUGCGUAGGCGGUCGGGUAAGUCUGAUGUGAAAUCUCGGGGCCUAACCCCGAAACUGCAUUGGAUACUAUUCGGCUUGAGGAAUGGAGGGGAGACUGGAAUGCUCGGUGUAGCAGUGAAAUGCGUAGAUAUCGAGCGGAACACCAGUGGCGAAGGCGAGUCUCUGGACAUUUCCUGACGCUGAGGCACGAAAGCCAGGGGAGCAAACGGG
rnacentral:rRNA from 1 species